rnacentral:rRNA from 1 species
GGGAUCCGUUUCCGUAGGUGAACCUGCGGAAGG